rnacentral:lncRNA from 1 species
CGAUGAAAGAAAGUGCCUUAUACAAUUUUUUUGUUUGCAUCCCCAGCAGUUCUGGAGUCUACUGGAGUAGCUACCUACUGGAAUCACUUCUGAAUCCUCAGACAUCUCUUCACCCUCCUCUGGCUACACUAUAGGUUAUCUAUGCUUUGGACGCAUAAAGGUAUCUUUCUUAGGAUGUUAGCAUGGAAUAAAUAUGAACGUCAUUCCAUAUGCUAAAUGCUCGUCACUGUGGAGCUCCUGGAAGCAUUUGCAAUGGAAAUGGAGACAGCUUGACAUGAUCAUAAACCACACUACUGGAAGAAAGUAUGGGGAGAGCACAAGCAGAGAUAACAGAGGUGCCACACAUCCAGGCCUCUGCUUGCCACUUUCCCCCUUGACUGGGGAACUGGAAGAACAUCCACCUAAUAAUAGGGGUGUGGACUGACCUGUGCUUAUCAGCCCCAGACAGGUGCUGCCUCUCCUCCUGUUCCUUGUCGUUCAAGGAAAGCACUAAUUGGAAUGGCUGAUAAUAUAAAAUAUCUCUUAAUCAUGUAUUUGAGAUCUGUACCAAGCUAUGACAUUUGCCAGGCUCAGGUGAAUUUAGAGAUCUGAUUUUAAAAGAUGGCAGAGACAGAUGGAGAGCUAGCAAAACUGUAUAUAUUCUGUCUAGGUAAAAAUAAAAACAAGUUAAGGAUCUUAAAACA